GUCAUGCUUCGUACGUGCACAUCCACACUAGCUUCAUGGCUUUACUAUACAGAGCCCAACCACCUUCAGGACGCGCGGGGGGAGCUCUUAUUUUUCUAAAACACUUCAAAACAAUGCACAGUUGUAUCAACAGAGCAUUUUUUACACCAGAUUCCACUUUCGAAAAUUAAAACGCAACGCAUGACGCGUAAAUGUCUCGAAACACGUCAUAAAAGCGGGAAAUAAGUGCGCCGAAAAUGGUUCAUUCCUAAAGUACGACGUGCAAAACCGAACGCGCCGCUCCCCGCUAUAACUCCGAGAAAACCCACCGAACCGUUGACGCGCACAGCCAAGCCCCUGCGACGCUGUAAUUCGAUAGUUCCAUUUAAUAGGCGGGCUUUCAGCGAGGAGCUCUGCCAGCUAUUGGCCGACUGCCACGUCAAUCAUGCACUGAUUUGCAUAAGCAGGUCAGGUUGCAGUUGCAGGGGAGUGGACAGGGUUGGGAGAGAUAGCGCAAGUGAGCUGAACUUGUGCUGUUGGAGCGCCCUAUCCUCAAUAUAAUACUUAAGAAAUUAUUUUCUUUGACGAAAACAGCUCUAGCCUCGUGUGCUUUAAUUAACACCAACUAAGGACAGUCAGAUUUUUCUCUUCUCCCAGUAACAAACGGGUUUAUUGGGAAGUUGAGGUACAUCCCGGACUUCUUCAGAUCCUGUGAUUUCUGAGAGCAGGUAAGCCACUGACUAACGCACAUUGCGCCUGUUUUCCACUCCACUGUGCGUGUGACAGCGGCUAACCAGCUUUUGGAUGAGUGGCUGUCCUCAGCGUCCCACCGGAGCGUCCCGAGGCGGACACGGCCCCCAGAGGGACUCUUUUGGGCCCCGUCCCAUCCUUAGUUUUUUUGUUCCUUUAGCUCAGAUGGUAAAGAGGUUGUGGGUUCAAAUCCCAUGCAACUUGUGCCAAGAAAUUAAGCGUUAAAGUGUCACAGACCUCUCCGCUUCGCUCAUUCGAGGUUUUAUUCGUAAUAAUAAUAAUAACGCUGUUUUUGCACGUAAGCAGCAGCUCUGAACUUUUGAACUUGUACAGUUAUGCAAAUCCAGAAACGGUGACUGUGUAAACAGCUCUGACUCAUACUGAUGCGUCACGUGAAACCCCCUCGGCCUGUUAGCUGAGCUUUAAUUGAUCAUGGUAGUAAUUCAACGUUCAUUCUGAUCUGAUCACAGGUUUCAUAGAUAUAUAUACAGUAAAAGUGUUUUAGUGGAUGUUUUACUUUUUCAGUGUGUUGGUGAUUUCAUGAUGUGGCACACAAUUGUAUUAUAUUGCAUAAUAGUAUGAAAAUAUUUAUUGAAUAAAAUAUCAAAUAAAUUUUAA